CCUUUUCAUUUUAGGGGAAGUGACUGGAAAAGUAGGAAAUCAGGAGAUACCUGGAGUAACAGACAACUAUGGCCUUGCAGUACAAAUUGAAGCAGGGCCAAGGCUAACAGAGUUUUGCCAAGAGAAUUCACAGAUCAUAGCAAACAAAAAUUUCCAACAACACAAAAGACAAC